rnacentral:rRNA from 1 species
CAGCAGCCGCGGUAAUACGAGGGGGGCAAGCGUUGUUCGGAAUUAUUGGGCGUAAAGGGUGCGUAGGCGGUUUGAUAAGUCUUGUGUGAAAUCUCUGGGCUCAACCCAGAGUCUGCACAGGAAACUGUCGGGCUUGAGAGUGGGAGAGGUGAGUGGAAUUUCCGGUGUAGCGGUGAAAUGCGUAGAUAUCGGAAGGAACACCUGUGGCGAAAGCGGCUCACUGGACCAUUUCUGACGCUGAUGCACGAAAGCUAGGGGAGCAAACAGGAUUAGAUACCCCGGUAGUCCCUGUCUCUUAUAC